rnacentral:lncRNA from 1 species
GUGACACGGGAGGCGAAACCCUACUACCGCCGUCAUCUCCCUUUCCCCCCUUACCCUUCCUCGCCGCUGGCAAAGCCGGCUGGUGACCUAGGAUGGCGGCGGCGGGGCUUUCUCGCAGUGGCGCCGUUUCUCUGCGCGAGGGAAGCGACAGUCGCCGGGGAGGGGGGGGAGGGGGGUUCUUCAGGCAGGGUGGCGGCAGAUCUGGCACCACCGCCGCCGGAUCUACAACGGCAGAGACCGAAAAGGUUCCGCACUCUUGAGGGAGUCUUGGGCGAAAGCUUUGCCUGGUCUUCCAGGUUCGAUGACAUCGACGCCAGCGGGUGCCGUUUCCUCCUUGGAGGUGUUGCCUUGUGGAUCUCUCCCCUUCGGGUAAAAACCCAGUCCAGUUUUUGGGCGGGCAUCGGCAGCGGCUCCUAUCGUUGUUUACCUCCUUGGAGGUUUCGCCUUGAAGGUCUUGCUCUUCCCUCGAUCACUUAUGUGGACAGCUGCGGCAGCAACCUUAGCUUCUACCCAGGCCAUAGGGGAGGAUUAGGCAAGGGUGUAAUGACUGGCCUCAGUGUGGGAAGCAGGCGCCGACAAGGGUGUCAAGGAAGUGCGACCUUUCUUUCAAGAAGGAGAUUUCAUCGAUGGAGGAUCGAGGUAUAGAUGGCCGAAA